rnacentral:rRNA from 1 species
CAGUCGUACGCUUCUUUUUCCCCGGAGCUUGCUCCACCGGAAAAAGAAGAGUGGCGAACGGGUGAGUAACACGUGGGUAACCUGCCCAUCAGAAGGGGAUAACACUUGGAAACAGGUGCUAAUACCGUAUAACAAUCGAAACCGCAUGGUUUUGAUUUGAAAGGCGCUUUCGGGUGUCGCUGAUGGAUGGACCCGCGGUGCAUUAGCUAGUUGGUGAGGUAACGGCUCACCAAGGCCACGAUGCAUAGCCGACCUGAGAGGGUGAUCGGCCACAUUGGGACUGAGACACGGCCCAAACUCCUACGGGAGGCAGCAGUAGGGAAUCUUCGGCAAUGGACGAAAGUCUGACCGAGCAACGCCGCGUGAGUGAAGAAGGUUUUCGGAUCGUAAAACUCUGUUGUUAGAGAAGAACAAGGAUGAGAGUAACUGUUCAUCCCUUGACGGUAUCUAACCAGAAAGCCACGGCUAACUACGUGCCAGCAGCCGCGGUAAUACGUAGGUGGCAAGCGUUGUCCGGAUUUAUUGGGCGUAAAGCGAGCGCAGGCGGUUUCUUAAGUCUGAUGUGAAAGCCCCCGGCUCAACCGGGGAGGGUCAUUGGAAACUGGGAGACUUGAGUGCAGAAGAGGAGAGUGGAAUUCCAUGUGUAGCGGUGAAAUGCGUAGAUAUAUGGAGGAACACCAGUGGCGAAGGCGGCUCUCUGGUCUGUAACUGACGCUGAGGCUCGAAAGCGUGGGGAGCAAACAGGAUUAGAUACCCUGGUAGUCCACGCCGUAAACGAUGAGUGCUAAGUGUUGGAGGGUUUCCGCCCUUCAGUGCUGCAGCUAACGCAUUAAGCACUCCGCCUGGGGAGUACGACCGCAAGGUUGAAACUCAAAGGAAUUGACGGGGGCCCGCACAAGCGGUGGAGCAUGUGGUUUAAUUCGAAGCAACGCGAAGAACCUUACCAGGUCUUGACAUCCUUUGACCACUCUAGAGAUAGAGCUUCCCCUUCGGGGGCAAAGUGACAGGUGGUGCAUGGUUGUCGUCAGCUCGUGUCGUGAGAUGUUGGGUUAAGUCCCGCAACGAGCGCAACCCUUAUUGUUAGUUGCCAUCAUUCAGUUGGGCACUCUAGCAAGACUGCCGGUGACAAACCGGAGGAAGGUGGGGAUGACGUCAAAUCAUCAUGCCCCUUAUGACCUGGGCUACACACGUGCUACAAUGGGAAGUACAACGAGUCGCGAAGUCGCGAGGCUAAGCUAAUCUCUUAAAGCUUCUCUCAGUUCGGAUUGUAGGCUGCAACUCGCCUACAUGAAGCCGGAAUCGCUAGUAAUCGCGGAUCAGCACGCCGCGGUGAAUACGUUCCCGGGCCUUGUACACACCGCCCGUCACACCACGAGAGUUUGUAACACCCGAAGUCGGUGAGGU